rnacentral:rRNA from 1 species
GAUCAUGGCUCAGGAUGAACGCUAGCUACAGGCUUAACACAUGCAAGUCGAGGGGCAGCAUGUUGGUUGCUUGCAACCGAUGAUGGCGACCGGCGCACGGGUGAGUAACGCGUAUCCACCUACCCUUCGUUCCACUCGGAUAACCCGUCCGAAAGGACGGCCUAACACGAUAUGCGGUUCACAGCAGGCAUCUAACGUGAACGAAAUGUGAAGGAGAAGGAUGGGGAGUGCGU